GAGAGUAUAGAUCAGUGGUAAAGCGUGUGCUUAGCAUGCACGAAGUCCUGGGUUCAAUCUCCAGUACCUCCA
rnacentral:tRNA from 1 species